CAAUAGCGUAUAUUUAAGUUGUUGCAGUUAAAAAGCUCGUAGUUGGAUUUCGGGUGGGAAUGGCCGGUCCGCCGUUUCGGUGUGCACUUGCUACGCCCACCUUGCUGCCGGGGACGUGCUCUUGAGUUCACGCUCGGGACACGGAGUCGGCGAGGUUACUUUGAGUAAAUUAGAGUGUUCAAAGCAAGCCUACGCUCUGAAUACAUUAGCAUGGAAUAACACGAUAGGACUCUGGCUUAUCUUGUUGGUCUGUGAGACCAGAGUAAUGAUUAAGAGGGACAGUCGGGGACGUUCGUAUUUCAUUGUCAGAGGUGAAAUUCUUGGAUUUAUGAAAGACGAACUUCUGCGAAAGCAUUUGUCAAGGAUGUUUUCAUUAA
rnacentral:rRNA from 1 species